AUGAUCCUGCAAGCAAGCAGAAGGCCAAGAAUGCCAAUGUAUUCUCCCCUUCCUGUGUACGCUAUUCUUUUGCUUCUUUCUUGGCCAUUCAGUUCGGUGCCUAUUUGCUCAUCCGAUAAUCGGCUUGUCGCUGGCAAGCCGCUCUCCCCUGGCAGUGUCCUCGUCUCUCAAGAUGGGGUGUUUGCCCUGGGAUUCUUCUCCCCGUACAACUCCACUAAGAACCAUCACUAUGUUGGCAUAUGGUACAACGACAUCCCGGAGCGCACGGUGGUAUGGGUUUCUAACCGUGCGGCGCCGAUCACCACUAACCUUUCCUCUGCAAAUCUUGCCGUCACCGGCAGCUCCGACAUAGUCUUGUCUGAUAACAAUGGUCGUGUCUUCUGGACAACGUACAACAGCAUCAACAUCAACUCCAUCUCGGUGGAAGCAGUGUUGGACAACACUGGCAACUUCAUCCUUAGAUCAUUAACUGAUAGUACCAUCCUAUGGCAAAGCUUCGACCACCCUACCGACACUCUCCUACCCGGCAUGAACCUCAGGCUCAGCCACAACACGCUUCCACUGCAGCACCUCGUCUCCUGGAAAGGCCUACAUGACCCAUCCCCCGGUGAGUUCUCCUACGGCGCAGACCCUAGCAGCCUCCUCCAGUGCUUCGUCUGGAAUGGCUCGAGGCCACACCGGCGAAGCCCGGUGUGGACAAAUUACCUCUAUGUUGGUGGAUUCAACGAGUCUACCAUUUAUAUGGCCUUACAUCACGCCGGUGACGAGGUGUACAUGUCCUUCAUCAUGCCGAUUGGCUACUUCGUCCUGCUGGUCAGGAUGGAGAUUGACUACUUGGGCAAGGUAAAUCUACUAAUCUGGGAGAGCAACAUGUCUGCAUGGAGAGCCCUGUAUGCAGAGCCUCAACAUGAGUGCAAUAUGUACGGCUACUGUGGUCUUUAUGGUUACUGCGACAAUACAGAAGUUGUCCCAGUUUGCAAGUGCCUUGAAGGUUUUGAGCCGAGGGAUGGUGAAGGAUGGAUCGCCGAUGGCUUCUCACAUGGAUGCCGCCAGAAGGAGGUGCAGAGGUGCACCCAUGGAGACGGUUUCUUGGUCUUUCCAGGCAUGAAGGUCCCUGACAAGUUCAUACAUGUCCCGAGCAGAAGCUUUGAUGAGUGCACGGAGGAAUGCAGAAGCAAUUGCUCCUGUGUGGCAUAUGCUUAUUCCAAGAUGAGCAACAUGGAUAUUGAUGGGGAUGACACAAGAUGCCUGGUAUGGAUGGGAGAUUUGAUCGACAUGGAGAACCACACUCAAGGAGGGGAGAACCUCUAUGUUCGGACUAAAAGAUUACAAGGCAACAUGAGAAAGAUCAAAAUCCUAGAAAUUGUAUUACCAGUUGUUUCAAGUUUUCUGAUACUCAUAUGCGUGGUGCCUAUUUGGAUCUAUGGCUCUAGAGUCCUGACAGGCAAUCAAGGAAGCAUGGUUGUCUGGGAAAGGAUGAUGCGACGAGAUACAGAAAAUUAUAAUGAGGUUGCUGAUAGUUACACAGAGUUUCCCAUUUUGAACUUCAUGGCACUUGUUGCUGCGACAAAUAAUUUCUCUGAAUCCAACAUUCUUGGCAAAGGAGGGUUUGGCAACGUUUAUAAGGGAACGUUCGAAGAUGGUAAGGAAAUUGCUGUGAAAAGGCUUCGUGUUGGUUCUGUCCAAGGGGCUGUGGAGUUCAAAAAUGAAAUAGCUCUGACUUCUAGGUUGCAGCAUAGAAACUUGGUCAAACUUAUGGGCUGCAGUAUUUAUGAAGACGAAAAGCUUUUGAUUUAUGAAUACCUACCUAACCGAAGUUUGGAUUACUUCAUUUUCAAUGAUACAAGAAAAUCACUACUCAAUUGGCCAACAAGAUUUAAGAUAAUCAUUGGAGUAGCUAGGGGACUUCUUUAUCUCCACCAAGAUUCCAGAUUGGUUAUGAUUCAUAGUGAUCUCAAAGCAGGCAACAUAUUGUUGGAUGCUGAGAUGAACCCGAAAAUAUCUGAUUUUGGUACAGCUAGGGUCUUUGGUGUGAACGAACACGAACAACGUACCAAUCAAGUUGUUGGAACAUUCGGAUACAUGUCGCCUGAAUACGCAAUGGAAGGCAUAAUCUCCGUCAAAUCCGAUGUUUACAGCUUUGGGGUAUUAAUUCUAGAGAUUGUGAGUGGCAUGAAGACCGGCACCACAACCCCAAAGAGCUCAUGUGCAUGCACUCAUAACCUUAUAAAUUAUGCGUGGAGCUUAAGGAAGGAUGGGAAAUUGAUGGAUCUAAUCGAGUCAUCUAUCAUCGAGGAUUGCUCUCUCGCUGAAGCUCUACGAUGCAUCCAUGUUGGACUCUUGUCGGUGCAGGAUGACCCGGACGCUCGCCCUCUCAUGUCUUGGGUGGUAGCAAGCCUGGAUAACAAAGGCAUUGAGCUCGCGCAGCCGAAAGAACCUAUGUGCUUUACACAUCGUAAAUACGGAGCCGGGGAAAGCCAUGUACAUGACAUGAGCCUCGAAAACCUUAAGGGGUGCUAG
rnacentral:rRNA from 1 species